rnacentral:misc_RNA from 1 species
ACACCUCAACUCUUCAUGGUUCUCCAUGAUGAGCUUGGACUUUGGGGGUCUUGCUGGCCUGCGGUCGGCUCCUCUCAAAUGAAUCAGCUUGCCAGUGUUUGGUGGGCAUCACAAGUGUGAUAACUAUCUACGCUCGUGGUUUUCCACCAAGUAACCUUCAGCAGUGGAGGUUCGCUGGAGCUCACAGAUGUUCUCUCCUCAGUGAGGACAGCCCUUUGAAC